GAUGAACGCUGGCGGUAUGCUUAACACAUGCAAGUCGAACGAAAGCUUUAUGCUUUAGUGGCGAACGGGUGCGUAAUACGUGAGAAUCUGCCCUUAGGAGGAGAAUAACUUCUGGAAACGGUUGCUAAGUCUCCAUAUGCCGAGAGGUAAAAUAGUUUAUACUGCCUAGGGAUGAGCUCACGCCUGAUUAGCUUGUUGGUAAGGUAAUGGCUUACCAAGGCCACGAUCAGUAGCUGGUUUGAGAGAACGAUCAGCCACACUGGGACUGAGACACGGCCCAGACUCCUCCGGGAGGCAGCAGUGAGGAAUUUUCCGCAAUGGGCGAAAGCCUGACGGAGCAAUACCGCGUGAGGGAUGAAGGAUUUUGGUCUGUAAACCUCUUUUCUCAAGAAAGAAGUUCUGACGGUACUUGAGGAAUAAGCAUCGGCUAACUCCGUGCCAGCAGCCGCGGUAAUACGGGGGAUGCAAGCGUUAUCCGGAAUCAUUGGGCGUAAAGCGCCUGUAGGUUGUUUAAUAAGUCUGUUGUUAAAGACUAGGGCUCAACCCUAGGAAAGCAAUGGAAACUACUAGACUUGAGUAUGAUAGGGGUAGAGGGAAUUUCUAGUGUAGCGGUGAAAUGCGUAGAUAUUAGGAAGAACACCGGUGGCGAAGGCGCUCUACUGGAUCAUUACUGACACUCAGAGGCGAAAGCUAGGGUAGCAAAAGGGAUUAGAUACCCCUGUAGUCCUAGCCGUAAACGAUGGAUACUAGAUGUUGCGUUUAUUAUGCAGUAUCGUAGCUAACGCGUUAAGUAUCCCGCCUGGGGAGUACGCUCGCAAGGGUGAAACUCAAAGGAAUUGACGGGGGCCCGCACAAGCGGUGGAGCAUGUGGUUUAAUUCGAUGCAACGCGAAGAACCUUACCAAGGCUUGACAUACUACAAAUUUCUUUGAAAGAGGAAAGUGCCUUCGGGAAUGUAGAUACAGGUGGUGCAUGGCUGUCGUCAGCUCGUGUCGUGAGAUGUUGGGUUAAGUCCCGCAACGAGCGCAACCCUUAUUUUUAGUUGCUAAUUUAUUAGGUUUUCUAGAAAGACUGCCGGUGACAAACCGGAGGAAGGUGAGGAUGACGUCAAGUCAGCAUGCCCCUUAUGCCUUGGGCUACACACGUGCUACAAUGGUUAAGACAAAGAGUUGCGAGCUCGCGAGAGUCAGCUAAUCUCAUAAACUUAGCCUAAGUUCGGAUUGUAGGCUGCAACUCGCCUACAUGAAGUCGGAAUCGCUAGUAAUCGCUGGUCAGCCAUACAGCGGUGAAUCCGUUCCCGGGCC
rnacentral:rRNA from 1 species